rnacentral:rRNA from 1 species
UGGGGAAUUUUGGACAAUGGGCGAAAGCCUGAUCCAGCAAUGCCGCGUGUGUGAAGAAGGCCUUCGGGUUGUAAAGCACUUUUGUCCGGAAAGAAAUCCUUGGCUCUAAUACAGUCGGGGGAUGACGGUACCGGAAGAAUAAGCACCGGCUAACUACGUGCCAGCAGCCGCGGUAAUACGUAGGGUGCAAGCGUUAAUCGGAAUUACUGGGCGUAAAGCGUGCGCAGGCGGUUUGCUAAGACCGAUGUGAAAAUCCCCCGGGCUAACCUGGGGAACUGCAUUGGUGACUGGCAGGCUAGAGUAUGGCAGAGGGGGGUAGAAUUCCACGUGUAGCAGUGAAAUGCGUAGAGAUGUGGAGGAAUACCGAUGGCGAAGGCAGCCCCCUGGGCCAAUACUGACGCUCAUGCACGAAAGCGUGGGGAGCAAAACAGGAUUAGAUACCCUGGUAGUCCACGCCCUAAAACGAUGUCAACUAGUUGUUGGGGAUUCAUUUUCCUUAGUAACGUAGCUAACGCGUGAAGUUGACCGCCUGGGGAGUACGGUCGCAAGAUUAAAACUCAAAUGAAUUGACGGGGUCAUAGCUGUUUCCU